GACGAACGCUGGCGGCGUGCCUAAUACAUGCAAGUCGAGCGAAGGUUUUCUGGUGCUUGCACUAGAAAAACUUAGCGGCGAACGGGUGAGUAACACGUAAAGAACCUGCCUCAUAGACUGGGACAACUAUUGGAAACGAUAGCUAAUACCGGAUAACAGUAUUUCUCGCAUGAGAGAUAUUUAAAAGUUGGUUAUGCUAACACUAUGAGAUGGCUUUGCGGUGCAUUAGCUAGUUGGUGGGGUAAAGGCCCACCAAGGCGACGAUGCAUAGCCGACCUGAGAGGGUGAUCGGCCACACUGGGACUGAGACACGGCCCAGACUCCUACGGGAGGCAGCAGUAGGGAAUCUUCCGCAAUGGGCGAAAGCCUGACGGAGCAACGCCGCGUGAGUGAAGAAGGAUUUCGGUUCGUAAAGCUCUGUUGUUAGGGAAGAAUGGAUAUGUAGUAACUAUACAUGUAAGAGACGGUACCUAACCAGAAAGCCACGGCUAACUACGUG
rnacentral:rRNA from 1 species